UACGAAGGGUGCAAACGUUGCUCGGAAUUAUUGGGCGUAAAGCGCACGUAGGCGGCAUUGUAAGUCAGUGGUGAAAUCUCCGGGCUUAACCCGGAAACUGCCAUUGAUACUAUUAGUCUUGAAUACCGUGGAGGUCAGCGGAAUAUGUCAUGUAGCGGUGAAAUGCUUAGAUAUGACAUAGAACACCAAUUGCGAAGGCAGCUGGCUACACGAGCAUUGACACUCAGGCACGAAAGCGUGGGGAUCAAACAGG
rnacentral:rRNA from 1 species